GUCGAGCGGCAGCGCGGGGGCACCCUGGCGGCGAGCGGCGAACGGGUGAGUAAUGCAUCGGAACGUACCCAUUUGUGGGGGAUAACUAACCGAAAGGUUAGCUAAUACCGCAUAAGUCCUGAGGGAGAAAGCAGGGGAUCGCAAGACCUUGCGCAGAUGGAGCGGCCGAUGCCGGAUUAGCUAGUUGGUGAGGUAAAGGCCCACCAAGGCGACGAUCCGUAGCUGGUCUGAGAGGAUGAUCAGCCACACUGGAACUGAGACACGGUCCAGACUCCUACGGGAGGCAGCAGUGGGGAAUUUUGGACAAUGGGGGCAACCCUGAUCCAGCCAUUCCGCGUGAGUGAAGAAGGCCUUCGGGUUGUAAAGCUCUUUCGGCAGGAACGAAACGGUGGAGACUAAUACUUUCUACUAAUGACGGUACCUGAAGAAGAAGCACCGGCUAACUACGUGCCAGCAGCCGCGGUAAUACGUAGGGUGCGAGCGUUAAUCGGAAUUACUGGGCGUAAAGCGUGCGCAGGCGGUUCUAUAAGACAGAUGUGAAAUCCCCGGGCUUAACCUGGGAACUGCGUUUGUGACUGUAGGACUUGAGUGUGGCAGAGGGGGGUGGAAUUCCACGUGUAGCAGUGAAAUGCGUAGAGAUGUGGAGGAACACCGAUGGCGAAGGCAGCCCCCUGGGUCAACACUGACGCUCAUGCACGAAAGCGUGGGUAGC
rnacentral:rRNA from 1 species